rnacentral:tRNA from 1 species
GCUGCCGUAGCUCAGUGGUAGAGCACUCCCUUGGUAAGGGAGAGGUCGCGAGUUCAAUCCUCGCUGGCAGCACCA